AUCUUUCUAGUACUAAAGCAAGUAUGAGUGACUUCCAAUCACUGGGUCUUGGUUAAAAUCCAAGGAAAGAUAA
rnacentral:tRNA from 1 species